GUGCAGGGACUGCGAGACUAUACAUGCAGUCGUGCGGACGAUGAUCGCGGAGCUUGCUCCCUGAUGUUAGCGGCGGACGGGUGAGUAACACGUGGGUAACCUGCCUGUAAGACUGGGAUAACUCCGGGAAACCGGGGCUAAUACCGGAUGGUUGUUUGAACCGCAUGGUUCAAACAUAAAAGGUGGCUUCGGCUACCACUUACAGAUGGACCCGCGGCGCAUUAGCUAGUUGGUGAGGUAACGGCUCACCAAGGCAACGAUGCGUAGCCGACCUGAGAGGGUGAUCGGCCACACUGGGACUGAGACACGGCCCAGACUCCUACGGGAGGCAGCAGUAGGGAAUCUUCCGCAAUGGACGAAAGUCUGACGGAGCAACGCCGCGUGAGUGAUGAAGGUUUUCGGAUCGUAAAGCUCUGUUGUUAGGGAAGAACAAGUACCGUUCGAAUAGGGCGGUACCUUGACGGUACCUAACCAGAAAGCCACGGCUAACUACGUGCCAGCAGCCGCGGUAAUACGUAGGUGGCAAGCGUUGUCCGGAAUUAUUGGGCGUAAAGGGCUCGCAGGCGGUUUCUUAAGUCUGAUGUGAAAGCCCCCGGCUCAACCGGGGAGGGUCAUUGGAAACUGGGGAACUUGAGUGCAGAAGAGGAGAGUGGAAUUCCACGUGUAGCGGUGAAAUGCGUAGAGAUGUGGAGGAACACCAGUGGCGAAGGCGACUCUCUGGUCUGUAACUGACGCUGAGGAGCGAAAGCGUGGGGAGCGAACAGGAUUAGAUACCCUGGUAGUCCACGCCGUAAACGAUGAGUGCUAAGUGUUAGGGGGUUUCCGCCCCUUAGUGCUGCAGCUAACGCAUUAAGCACUCCGCCUGGGGAGUACGGUCGCAAGACUGAAACUCAAAGGAAUUGACGGGGGCCCGCACAAGCGGUGGAGCAUGUGGUUUAAUUCGAAGCAACGCGAAGAACCUUACCAGGUCUUGACAUCCUCUGACAAUCCUAGAGAUAGGACGUCCCCUUCGGGGGCAGAGUGACAGGUGGUGCAUGGUUGUCGUCACCUCGUGUCGUGAGAUGUUGGGUUAAGUCCCGCAACGACCGCAACCCUUGAUCUUAUUUGCCAGCAUUCAGUUGGGCACUCUAAGGUGACUGCCGGUGACAACCGGAAGAAAGGUGGGGAUGACGUCCAAUCAUCAUGCCCCUUAUAAACUGGCGUAACCACGUGGUUACAUUGGAGGAAAGAGAGGCUAACCCAACCCCCGG
rnacentral:rRNA from 1 species